rnacentral:rRNA from 1 species
CAGUAAACUAUGCCGACGAUGUGAUAUGAAAUUAUUUGUAUUACAUAAUAGAAAUUAGAGUUUUUUGGCUCUGGGGAUAGUAUGAUCGCAAGAUUGAAAAUUAAAGAAAUUGACGGAAGAAUACCACAAGGAGUGGAUUGUGCGGCUUAAUUUGACUCAACGCGAGGUAACUUACCAAUAUUUUAUUAUUUUGAGAGGAUUUUUAAUCUGAGAAUGAUAAUAGUGGUGCAUGGCCGUUUUCAAUGGAUGCUGUGAAGUUUUGAUUAAUUUCAACAAGACGUGAGACCCUUUUAUUAUAGACAGACACAAUCAGUGUAGGAAGGAAAGGAUUAAAACAGGUCCGUUAUGCCCUCAGACAUUUUGGGCUGCACGCGCAAUACAAUAGAUAUAUGAUCUUUAUGGGAUAAUAUUUUGUAAGAGAUAUUUGAACUUGGAAUUGCUAGUAAAUUUUAUUAAAUAAGUAGAAUUGAAUGUGUCCCUGUUCUUUGUACACACCGCCCGUCGCUAUCUAAGAUGAUAUAUGUUGUGAAAUUAGUGAAAACUACUUGAACAAUAUGUAUUAGAUCUGAUAUAAGUCGUAACAUGGUUGCUGUUGGAGAACCAUUAGCAGGAUCAUAACAAUGAAACAAAUAUAUGUAAAUUUUUUGCCCACACAUGGGAUCAAUAGGAUACCAUAACGAUGAAGGUCGUAAUAGAAUACGAAAGAGUAUUUACCGAAUUAAUACAUUAUAUGUAUUGAUAACCCUUUGAACUUAAGCAUAUCAUUAAAAGGAGGAAAAGAAACUAACUAGGAUUUCUUUAGUAGCGGCGAGUGAACAAGAAAGAACCCUUGAUUGUAAUCCUUAAUUGGAGAUGUAAAUCAUUUAUUCUAUUAUUUAUAUCAUAGAGAAUAUUAAUUCGUUAUUUGAUAGAAUAGAAUAAUUUCUUUGAGUAGGGCUGCUUGGUAGUGCAGUUUGAAUAUAGGUAGAAUGAGAUAUCUAAGGUUAAAUAUAAUGGUAUACCGAUAG